AUACGGAGGGGGCUAGCGUUGUUCGGAAUUACUGGGCGUAAAGCGCACGUAGGCGGAUUAAAAAGUUAGAGGUGAAAUCCCAGGGCUUAACCCUGGAACUGCCUUUAAAACUAGUAGUCUAGAGUUCGAGAGAGGUGAGUAGAAUUCCAGGUGUAGAGGUGAAAUUCGUAGAUAUUUGGAGGAACACCAGUGGCGAAGGCGGCUCACUGGCUCGAUACUGACGCUGAGGUGCGAAAGCGUGGGGAGCAAACAGAAUUAGAAACCCUAGUAGUCC
rnacentral:rRNA from 1 species